UGCAGGUACGGAAGCGAAGGAAGCCAAGCUUCUCUGUAACUCUCUCUGUAUAGCGCGUUUUCGCGUUCUCACCUCUCGGGCGAUCGCCUCCUUUUGACUUCGUCGCGAUGGAGAAGAAGGACGAUCCGACAUUUUCCGGGAAACUGCUCGAUUCGCGUGUUCUUCUGACUCGCGACUCGUGAGGGAAUUUUUGCUCGGAUUCUGUUGCAGACGGUAGCGGCAUUCGUGAUUGCGGUGGUUGGGUAGGUGCGUGCGUCCUUUCGUCGAUUCCCCUGCGCCCGUCGAUCCCGGAACAAGGUUGAUCUCUUGUCAUAAUCAGUUCUUGCGGAUUAGGGUAAAAUGCGUGCACCGUCAUUGCUUGCACAGUGUUUACCUUGGUUCACUCCCCAUGACCGUGGGAGUCAGAAUGUGCCAUCUAUUCCGGAAAGAGCCUGCCUUCUCCAGCUGUGGAAAUUCUUCUGUCCAAGACAACUCAUCCUUACAAAUAUGCUGGAGAAAGUGUUGACAUGCAAGGUCUUACCGUAUUACCUGAACUUAAUAUGAUGGAGUCUUUCGGAACAAGCACCAAUCUCCUAAGUAACCCGGCUGUUACCCAUAAGCUCGAAGCCCAGCUUUGAUGCUGACAGUCACACAGAGAGAGAGAUUUAGCAGUCGGUUUUGCCUCACCGUCAUCUUGUUCUGCAGGCCUCUCUACGCUGUUUGCGUUGACCUCGCUCUUGCUCUUAACCUAACGUCUCUCACUCGGUUUUUUUUCAAGAGUAGAAGCAACAAAUAAUCCUAAGGAAAAAUUCCUAAUAAGAGUUUGAGGUUGACAUUAUUUCAAAUAAAGAUCCGAAAUAAGCAUAUCAACUCCAAAAAAGGGCUUGAAGUGAUUUUGAUUGUUUCAAAUAAGGGCUUAAUCUCACUAGCUUGCCGGUCGGCAAAAUAUUCUGGCCAAUUAAGGAUA